CCAUCGGUGGUUCAGUGGUAGAAUGCUCGCCUGCGGGUUCGAUUCCCGGCCGAUGCA
rnacentral:tRNA from 1 species